GCCCCGGCUGGCGGCGUGGCCUUACCGACUGCGCUCGACCCCGGGGCUCCUUUCCAGGGACCCAGCGGUGCCCGCUGCCGCCCCGAUUUCAGCAUCGCAGCCCGGCUCGCGCAGGGAGAGCAAAGUGAGGGCGCCCCCUCCCCUGCGCCUCCUUCCCGGCUCCGGGCCCGGCGCCCGGUUAAAGAGGAGAAGGGGAAGGUAUGCAAAUGACAAGCAAAUUGGAGGAGCCCGGCCGAGAGGCGGCUAUAAUAAACCAGACAAAGGCGCAGGGCUGGGGAGGAGCCCGGAGUUUGCGCCCGGGGAGGUGGGAAGGGGAGGCUCGUCGGAGAGCGGCGACCCUGGCGAACAAAAAGCGACCCGGUCUCCUGCGCGGUCCUCUCUCCCGAAAAGGGAGGGCGGAGACGCGGGGAGCAAGCGGACGCCUCCCCGCACCGCAGAAGCGGGACACAAAAGGUGACAAGUCCGGCGACCCCAGCCCCUGGCAGGCAGGGGAAGGAGAUAAAAGCCAGGGAUCCCUCAGCCUCGGGAGCGGGGCCGCGCCGCGCCGGGUCCCGGCUCGGAAAGUGUCCCGAGGCUGUGACGCGGUGCAUCCAACAUCACCACUUUCGGGGCGCGCGCGGCUGAGUGCGAGGCGCCGCUCCGUGCCACUCUCCCGCAGCCGCGCGCGAUCGGGGCAGGGGAGGCACUCGCGAGGGAGAGGUACUUACGGCGCGAGGGCGGCGGACGGGCCUCGCGCGCCCUCUCCCCUCGCUCGCUCUCCCUGUCGCCGGCAGGGAGCGGAAAACACGCGCGCGCUGGUUCGCGAGUGGCGGACGCGCGGGCGGAGCGGGCCGGUGAGUCGGCGCGGGCGGGCGCACCGGCCCCGGCUCCUGAGCGUGCGCCGCUCGGCUCGCCCGCUGCAGCGCCGUGGGUUUCCGAGCGCUCCCUCGGCUGAGGGCUCCGCUCCGCAAGAUUUACUUUAAGACGCAGCUGAAGGAAACAGGAAGACUGCACGUCACAGUCCGACUGACGUACCCGGCCCCAGCACCCAAUCGCGAGGCGCCUUCGGAUUCAAGGGGGGACGGCGAGGCAAGAGAACUUGGGAGGAAAAAAAUAUAUAAAAGGGGUGGGUGUGGGGGUGCGGGCUGGGGAGAGAGGAGGGAGAGCGGAGCGGCGGCUCCUCCCCGGCCCCCUCCCCGGCCGCGCUGCUCCGGGCGCUGCGACGCCGGCCGGGCCGCCGAGAGCCAUCUGCGGGCCGCGCGCCGCUCCCGGGCAGCCGGUCCUCGCCGCCGUGUACGCGCGUGUGUGUGUGUGCGCGCGUGUGUGUGCUUGUGCGUGUUUUUUUCCAUUUCCCAGAUACAGCUGAUCGGGUUCGCCCCGCGCCCCAGCGAGCGAGGGAGCGAGCGCUCCUCGGACUCGGGUGGAGGAAGGCACGGAAAAGUAUACUGGAGACAAAGUGGGGCUUUUCGGGGUGGCGGUGAUGCAGAAGGAGGGAGUGGAGGGUCCACAAAUCAGUCCGUUUUUAGAGCGAUCCUGGGUAGGAGCCGCAAUACAUGUCACGCUUCCUUUUAAAGAGGGGGUGGACUGUGAGAUGCAGGUAGGUCUGGGAUUAAAAUGAUACGUGCGGAGGUUUAACGCUGAGCUCGCUGCAUCCGAUAUAAAGGAGCAACACUGGCUGAGCCCCAGUCAACCACCAGCAAGAUUACUGGGAACAAGAAUAUUUACACCCCCACCACCACCACCACCUCUGACAGGGUCCCUGGGACUAUGGAUACAGCAGCUAUUUAAAAGUAUAUGUUACAAACAUUAUCUCGCUCAGUGUCCCCAGACCGACUCAGGAGCGCAGUCCAACACUGGAUUUACACGAUUUUGACACCUGGGUAACAAAGUUUAAAGUUUAUUAGGCAAGACAUAUCAAACGCUAGAAUCUCAGACUCCAACUUGAAACCGAAGAAAGUUCAUUUUGGCUUGACUUUCUGAGAUGAGAAAUACCCAGCACGGGUUCUCUAGAUAAGGCAGCUCUGGGCUUUGCAAGGUAACAGACGCUGAAGAGAGAGCCUCCAGCCACAGAGAGAAGAUGCCUUUCGCUGGGGACAGUAAACGGCUUUUAAUAAAGCAGGCGAGUUUAUCACUUAAAGAUCCUAUAAAAGCUAGGGCUCGCAGGAGCUGGGAAGUAGAAACUUUCAUGCCUACUCCAGUAGAUGCAUGUUUUUUAGGUUGAACGGGGACCAGCAGUUUUCCUGCGUCCCUCACAUUUAGUCAGAUCAAAGGUUGAAUCGUGUGUUGUGACAAGAGUAUUUAUGAGGUUCGUUGCUAGAACCCCAGGCUGGCUGGCUAUUACCACCAUCUUCUGCGACGGGGGGGGGGGGGGACACCACGCCUUUCUAGGACAUUUACAAUUUCAGCUUCAGGUUCAUCAAACUGUGAAGAGAUAGGAAGUCUCCUCUUUGAAUCAGAACAGCGGUGUUAGUAUGUCACAGUGUAUACUCUGUGGGAAACUUUAGGCACGGAAUUCAAACGUUAAGAAGAGGAGGAGGAAGAGGAGGAGGAAUAAUAAGGUCAACCAGGUUGGUGUCAGCAAUAAGAAAGGCUUUCAGGAGCAUCACCAGCCCUCUGCAGGCCCUUUCCCGCCCCCAGACACCCCUCCCUCCACCGUGCAAAUGCUCACCCUCACACUCAUGCCUCCAGCGAUCGCUAGGCUAGUGUAUCCAGUGUUCUAAUGGGGACGUGACAGUUUAGGCUGGGAACUGAAAUGGCUCCCAACAUGCCCAUGAGCUGCAGUGUGGAAUAAUAAUGCUUCUAUUGGUUGGGUCCCUUUCGAGGGAGGAGGAGGAGGAGCAGGAGGAGGAGGAGGAGGAGGAAGAGGAAGAAGAGGAGCAGGAGGUGGAGGAGUCGUCGUCUUCCUCCGCGCUGCUAAAUAACUAAGGCAGCCAAUCAGGGCUGGCAGACUCGGCGCGUGGCGGGUCAGGCGCUGUGCCGCAGACUUGUGGCUUCUCGCUUGAUGCUUUCCCGUCUCCAUCGCGAUCCCCUUACCACUGGCGUUUAGUUUUCAGAGUGCUAUUUUUCUUUCUUCAUCGGGGCUCUGUGUGGCUUGGUCUUAAGGCCCUGGGUGCCACUUAAAAAAAAAAAAUCUUCUUUACAAAUAUCCUAAAGAUUAAAUGAUUUUGAUUGGCAAAUUUAUUUCGUUUUAUUUUGGUGGAGUUGGAAAAGAGGGGAAUUCAUGCUCUCGUCAAUAUACUCCCUAGUCGGAACUGGGUGUUGGGGUCAGUUUGAACGGAGGUGGAGCUGAAUUGGGUCCAUUCUGUAGGAAAAAGUUCUGGGGCAGACACUGAACAGCAGGAAGGAAACAAGGCCCCCAGUGGCUCCUUUGCUCUUCCCUGGGCCCCCUGUAUGCCUUACCUGGUCUCGGUGAGAUAGUCUUUUCUUUUGUGUGUCUGCAUGUUACCAGGGACUGAGCCUCUCUUUGUUUUUAAAUUUUGA
rnacentral:lncRNA from 1 species